AGACGGUGGGUGCUAGCGUUGUUCGGAAUCAUUGGGCGUAAAGGGCGUGUAGGCGGCUCGUGAAGUCAUGCGUGAAAGCCCUCGGCUUAACCGAGGAAGUGCGUAUGAUACUGGCGAGCUAGAGUUCGGAAGAGGGGGGUGGAAUUCCAGGUGUAGCGGUGAAAUGCGUAGAUAUCUGGAGGAACACCGGUGGCGAAGGCGACCCCCUGGUCCGACACUGACGCUGAGACGCGAAAGCGUGGGUAGCAAACAGGAUUAGAUACCCCGGUAGUCC
rnacentral:rRNA from 1 species